rnacentral:tRNA from 1 species
UAUUUUCUAGUGUAUGAUGCACAGAAGUUUUUGAUACUUCUAGAAACAGUUUAAUUCUGUUGAAUGUAA